rnacentral:tRNA from 1 species
AUUUAAAUAGUUUAUAUAAAAUAUUGAUUUGUGGAGUCAAAGAAAUAAAAUAUUAUUUUAGAUA